rnacentral:rRNA from 1 species
CAGCAGCCGCGGUAAUACGUAGGUGGCAAGCGUUGUCCGGAAUUAUUGGGCGUAAAGGGCUCGCAGGCGGUUUCUUAAGUCUGAUGUGAAAGCCCCCGGCUCAACCGGGGAGGGUCAUUGGAAACCGGGAAACUUGAGUGCAGAAGAGGAGAGUGGAAUUCCACGUGUAGCGGUGAAAUGCGUAGAGAUGUGGAGGAACACCAGUGGCGAAGGCGACUCUCUGGUCUGUAACUGACGCUGAGGAGCGAAAGCGUGGGGAGCGAACAGGAUUAGAUACCCGAGUAGUCCCUGUCUCUUAUAC